rnacentral:rRNA from 1 species
UCCGUAGGCGGGCAGCUCAGUCAGUGGUGAAAGUUUGCAGCUCAACUGUAAAAUUGCCAUUGAUACUGGUUGUCUUGAAUCAUUAUGAAGUGGUUAGAAUAUGUAGUGUAGCGGUGAAAUGCAUAGAUAUUACAUAGAAUACCAAUUGCGAAGGCAGAUCACUAAUAAUGUAUUGACGCUGAUGUACGAAAGCGUGGGGAGCGAACAGGAUUAGAUACCCUGGUAGUCC